rnacentral:rRNA from 1 species
AAACGCCGGCCGGCCACACCAUGCCUCCUCCUCCUCCUCCUCCUCCUUGUCAAAGCUAGCCAGCAAGAACCAAGAAGAAGCAGAGCAGCUCAGAACCGAGCGCAGAGCGAAGCGGAGCCAAACGAAAGAAGGGACCUAACCUAACCUAGCCAAGCCAGCCGGCGAUCGACCGAGAGAUGGCGCGGUGGUGUCAGCUGGCGGCGGUGCUGCUCGCCGUGUCGAUGGCGGCGUCGACGUCGGUGGCGCAGGACGCGCUGCAGACCAAGUGCCAGGGGGACCUGCAGAAGCUGUCGGACUGCAUGGACUACGCGACGGGGCACGAGGACACGCCGUCGGCCAAGUGCUGCGAGGACACGGCGGACACGCAGAAGGCGCGGCCCGAGUGCCUCUGCUCCAUCAUCCAGCAGGUGCACAGCGGCAGCCACGGCGUGCAGCAGCUCGGCCUCCGCUUCGACCGCCUCCUGGCCCAGCCCGCAGCCUGCAAGCUCACCUACGCCAACGUCUCCCUCUGCAUCAACCUGCUGCACCUGACCCCGAGCUCGCCAGACUACGCUCUCUUCGCAAAUGCUUCCAAGAUUACUCCGUCCACUGCCGCACCGGCGAGAGACACCGCCGACGGCUUCAAGGUUUCGCCGGGACUCGGUUACGGCGUCGUGGCAGCGGCCGUCGUCUCUGCUGUCUUCUCAUCCAUCUUCUGAUUUUCGGACAAGCACACGCCCUUUUAUCCUCUCCCUUUCUUCUAUCUUUCAUGUUUGUUUACAUAACCCUGCAAGUUCCCACACAACGACGAUGCUUUAGAUGGUCUAUUAUCUACUCACGUGGUAAGAGGAUUCGUUCGGAUGACGUACUGUUGUUUUACCCCAGAUAAGAAGAUGGAAAGUUGAGACUUGUGUUUCUUCAUGUGGAAGUGAUGGUUUGCAGUAAUAUCCCCAAAAAUGUGGUUAUGUUCUUCUUGUUCUAAUUAAAAUCUGGUACGCAAAUGCCAUGUGUUGGUGGCAGAUGCUUAACCACAACAGAGCUAUAUCGAUUUUUAUUUCGUGGAUAGAUUGUUUAGAUAGCCAGGGC